rnacentral:lncRNA from 1 species
GGAGUGUACAGCAGUGGCAGCAAUAACAACCCAUGGAAGUAUCAUCAACACACCACUGAAAAGAAAUGGACACAAUCGGGUACUCGUUAAAAAAUGAUUAUUAGUACGCAUUUUCUGGCAAUUUAGAUUAGAAUAACUUCAUUUUUCUCAUGGGGGAACGUCUUAAAUCAAACCAUUCAAACAACACAAACACCAAAAGACAGAGCUGAACAUUUGGAGAAGCCAUGGAGAAGACAACAAUGUAGUGAGCAACAUCUGCCCUCAGCUCCUCUGAGAAGCGAUGCAUUAGCUGGAAUGGUCUAGCUGCUGGUGGCUCAUCUGGAGAUGGUGGGGAGCUGGGAUUGGUGCGCUGGCUUUAGGGAAAUCAGCCACUGUUCUCUCUCUGCGUCCCAAGCUUUGGCCAUUAACUCACUGCCAGCAGCUCAGCUCUGGGAUGAGGAACAACAGAUGCCAGCCACUGAAAAGCCUCCAGCGCUCCAGCUAACCAAUCCCAACUGAGUCGGGACGAGCCUCUGUAGAUUUUUGGACAUCCAGCGAACAAAUGUGGACAUGAAAGGGGGAAGAGGAGGGCUGUUCUGGAGGUAAAGAUGUGUUAACCCUCUUGAACUUGACAGGAGACGAGGCUGGAGCUCAGAUUAGCCCCUCAAAGCCCAGCUUUCACAAAAGUGGUCCAGAGUGGCAAGGAGACACCAGAUUAGGGAUGAGCCAAUCCCUGCUAUCCUCAACUGCCACAUCUUCCUGCUAGGCUACCCAAACAAGCACAAGGAGAAGAGGAGAAGUAAGGGAGUUGGGUCAAAUGGUAGCUGGGUGAACAAGCCGUGGAUCGAGUGACUGGGGUCCUUGAGGAUCUUCUUGGCCUUCCUGUGACACCGGCUGCUGUAGAUGUCCUGGAGGGCAGGCAGUGUGCCCCUGGUGAUGCGUUGGGUCUUUCUUCAGCCUCCUGUUGCGCCUUCUUCAGCACACUGUCUGUGUGGACCAUUUCAGGUCUAAUGUAUGCCUAACAGGAGCAGAGCCCUAGGACCAUGCCUCAGGACUAACCCUAACCCUGAUGACUCCUUGCUGUCCCCAGUCCACCUGGUCAUGCUGCUGCUCCAGUUCCAAAUGUUCUGCCUGCGGCUAUGGAACCCUGACCUGUUCACUGGACUUGCUACCUUGUCCCGGACCUGCUGUUUUGGAUUCUCUCUCUACCGCACCUGCUGUCUCUAACUUUGCAUGAUCGGCUAUGAAAAGCCAACUGACAUUUAGUCCUGAGGUGCUGACCUGUUGCACCCUCUACAACCACUGUGAUUAUUAUUAUCUGACCCUGCUGGUCAUCUAUGAACGUUUGAACAUCUUGGCCAUGUUCUGUUAUAAUCUCCACCCGGCACAUCCAGAAGAGGACUGGCCACCCCUUAGAGCCUUGUUCCUCUCUGUUUCUUCCUAAGUUAUGGCCUUUCUAGGGAGUUUUUCCUAGCCACCAUGCUUCUACAUGGGCAGUGGUCCCGUGUGGCUCAGUUGGUAGAGCAUGGUGUUUGCAAUGCCAGGGUUGUGGGUUCGAUUCCCACAGGGGACCAGUAUGGGGGGAAAAAGGUAUGAAAUGUAUGCAUUCACUACUGUAAGUUGCUCUGGAUAAGAGCAUCUGCUAAAUGACUAAAAUGUAAAUGUAGUCUGGUUAGCCAUUUGACUAGAUGUUCAGGAGUCUUAGAAUAGAAGCUAGAAAACUACAGUAAAGUCAUGUCUGCAAAAACACUACAGUGAAUACACAGUGAAGUCAGCAAAUAUACUACAGUGAAUACUAUAGUAUAUAAAUAUAGUAAUACUACAGCAUUUAGACCAU